rnacentral:rRNA from 1 species
ACGGGAGGCAGCAGUGAGGAAUUUUCCGCAAUGGGCGAAAGCCUGACGGAGCGACGCCGCGUGAGGGAUGAAGGUUUUCGGAUCGUAAACCUCUUUUAUUAAGGAAAAACGUAUAUGUGCUCAUACCACAUAUGCUUGAUGGUACUUAUUGAAUAAGCCCCGGCUAACUACGUGCCAGCAGCCGCGGUAAUACGUAGGGAGCAAGCGUUAUCCGGAUUUACUGGGUGUAAAGGGCGUGUAGGCGGGACAUCAAGUCAGAUGUGAAAGCACGAGGCUCAACUUCGUGUCUGCAUUUGAAACUGACGUUCUUGAGUGUUGGAGAGGCUAACGGAACUCCUAGUGUAGCGGUGAAAUGCGUAGAUAUUAGGAAGAACACCAGUGGCGAAGGCGGUUAGCUGGACAAUAACUGACGCUGAGGCGCGAAAGCGUGGGUAGCAAACAGGAUUAGAUACCCUGGUA